rnacentral:rRNA from 1 species
AUUGAACGCUGGCGGCAUGCCUUACACAUGCAAGUCGAACGGUAACAGGUCUUCGGAUGCUGACGAGUGGCGAACGGGUGAGUAAUACAUCGGAACGUGCCUAGUAGUGGGGGAUAACUACUCGAAAGAGUGGCUAAUACCGCAUGAGAUCUACGGAUGAAAGCAGGGGAUCGCAAGACCUUGUGCCACUAGAGCGGCCGAUGGCAGAUUAGGUAGUUGGUGGGAUAAAAGCUUACCAAGCCGACAAUCUGUAGCUGGUCUGAGAGGACGAUCAGCCACACUGGGACUGAGAAACGGCCCAGACUCCUACGGGAGGCAGCAGUGGGGAAUUUUGGACAAUGGGCGCAAGCCUGAUCCAGCAAUGCCGCGUGCAGGAUGAAGGCCUUCGGGUUGUAAACUGCUUUUGUACGGAACGAAAAGCCCUGGGUUAAUACCCUGGGGUCAUGACGGUACCGUAAGAAUAAGCACCGGCUAACUACGUGCCAGCAGCCGCCGUAACAC